rnacentral:rRNA from 1 species
AGUGAACGCUGGCGGUAGGCCUAACACAUGCAAGUCGAACGGCAGCACAGUAAGAGCUUGCUCUUACGGGUGGCGAGUGGCGGACGGGUGAGGAAUACAUCGGAAUCUACUUUUUCGUGGGGGAUAACGUAGGGAAACUUACGCUAAUACCGCAUACGACCUACGGGUGAAAGCAGGGGAUCUUCGGACCUUGCGCGAUUGAAUGAGCCGAGGUCGGAUUAGCUAGUUGGCGGGGUAAAGGCCCACCAAGGCGACGAUCCGUAGCUGGUCUGAGAGGAUGAUCAGCCACACUGGAACUGAGACACGGUCCAGACUCCUGCGGGAGGCAGCAGUGGGGAAUAUUGGACAAUGGGCGCAAGCCUGAUCCAGCCAUACCGCGUGGGUGAAGAAGGCCUUCGGGUUGUAAAGCCCUUUUGUUGGGAAAGAAAAGCAGCAGGUUAAUACCCCGCUGUUCUGACGGUACCCAAAGAAUAAGCACCGGCUAACUUCGUG